UACGUAGGGUGCGAGCGUUGUCCGGAAUUACUGGGCGUAAAGAGCUCGUAGGUGGUUUGUCGCGUCGACUGUGAAAACCUACAGCUUAACUGUGGGCUUGCAGUCGAUACGGGCAGACUUGAGUUCGGUAGGGGAGACUGGAAUUCCUGGUGUAGCGGUGAAAUGCGCAGAUAUCAGGAGGAACACCGGUGGCGAAGGCGGGUCUCUGGGCCGAUACUGACGCUGAGGAGCGAAAGCGUGGGGAGCGAACAGG
rnacentral:rRNA from 1 species